GGUAAGCUCUGGAAUCAGACUGCAUGUAAAUCCUUUCUCCCAGUAUUUAACCUACUGAGAUCUUAGGCAAGUUUCUUAUCUUCUCGAAGCCUCAGUGUCCUCAGUUUUAAGAGGGAGUUAACAACAGAAUCUACUCCCUAAGACGGCCAAGACGGUCCACACAGGUGGAAACUGAGGCUUAGGGCGGACAAGCAGCUUGCACCAACGGUCACACUGCAGAGCGAGGGGACCAACUCACACUGUCAGACUCUGGAGUCUGAUGUCUAUACCAAUAACCAGGUCUGCUGGGCCUGUGUCUGCCAACAGGGGGCAGAGAGUGGAGGACCGGCAAAGGAAGUAUGUGAGUAGCUGCACCAAGGGACAAGACAAAAGCUGCCUCUGUGCCCUCUGAACUCAAUAUUUACUUCUUCCCUCUCCACUGCUCCAGCAAGAAGUGAAUCAAUGUCCU